UAGGCAAUCCAAACCACGUGACCUCUGGUUGGCACACAAACUAAAGAAGAGGUUAUGUUUGUAUCUAUUUUUCAAUGAUUUUUCAUUGUUUAUCGUCGUAUUUUGGAUUCAUUUGGAUUUUCGUUUCCUGUUUUUGUGAACUUUAUAAACUUUACCACAAUGCGAACUGAUUAUUUAAGGAAAUUAUUAUUGGAAACUCCAGAUGUUGCGAGAAAGAUAUUUAUUGAAGCUGAAAAUAAUUGGGGAUUUAGAUCCAUACGGAAUUCAGUCAGAAUUGGAUUUUACAGUAAAGUGCAGUCCAUCAAGUUACUAUUAUAGAUAUAUAUUUAUACAGAUCUGGUGGAGUCUCACAGUUGCUACUCUAAGCAGCAGAUGAAAGCAUACAAAAGCCUUCAGGCACAUAAAUAUUUUACAGCUGGAUUUGUUUUGAAUGGAGUAAAAAUUGUUAAUGAUUUCCUGAUUUCCAUAUUAUUGUUGGAAAGGUGAAGCAUUUCCAAAAAGCUAAUGCUAAACGACUAAAUGCUUGGGUGGGGUGAUAGCCAGUUCUGAUGACAUAGCAAAUGCACAUUGUAUGCGUAUGGCCGGUAAUAGUGAAGUCUGCAGCCAUAUUGCAGCAAUCCUAUUUUUAGCUGAGUAUGCCCAGAGCAAGACAGACGAAGAAGAACCCAAUGCAUGUACAUAUGUUACAGCUACAUGGUUUGGAGAUAGCAACAUAUGCAUUCUCUGAUGAAAAACUAAUGAGUUUUGAAACUGUUCGGUCAGAGUGCUUGUUGCGCUCACUAAACGAACUGAAAUAUAAGAAGUCUUUGGCAUUGUGUUGCAGCGAUAUGAAAAUGGUUAUUCAUUUUUAAUUAUAAUGUACUUCUUCAUCAUGAGUAAUUAUGUAUUGGUCUUUUAGAUGUGUAUUUAUUUUUGUAAUUAGUAUCAACUUGUAAUGAUAAUAUACAUUUAUCGUUUAAGGUA